rnacentral:rRNA from 1 species
AUGUAGCUACGUAGCAGCAUGCCAGAGUUCAUAAUCAGACGAAGAUAGGAUCAGCAUCCAACCGUCGUAUUCAUCUUAACUAGCGACUAGAUGAUGGACAUCACAUUCAGUACUAUGAGAAUCAAGUCUUGGUUCUGGGGAGUAUGUCGCAGCUGAAACUAAGAAUGACGAAGGCACACAGGAGUGGAGCUGCGGCUAUUUGACUCAACACGGGGAAACUUACAGGUCCAGACAUAGUAAGGAUUGACAAGAUUGAUAGCUCUUUCUUGAUUCUAUGGGUGGUGGUGCAUGGCCGUCUUAGUUGGUGGAGUGAUUUGUCUGGUUAAUUCCGAUAACGAACGAGACCUUAACUGCUAACUAGUCUUUUCUAUUCCGAUAGACAUUGACUUCUUAGAGGGACUAUGUGCUCUAAGCACAAGAAAAAUAUGAGGCAAUAACAGGUCUGUGAUGCCCUUAUAUGUCCUGGGCUGCACGCGUGCUACACUGAUGCAUACAACAAGUCUCAAGCCAGUCAUGGCAUGGUAAUCUCUAAUAUGCAUCGUGAUGGGGAUUGAUCUUUGCAAUUAUAGAUCAUGAACGAGGAAUUCCUAGUAAGUGCAAGUCAUCAUCUUGCAUUGAUUAUGUCCCUGCCCUUGUGAAGAACGCCCGUCGCUCCUACCGAUACCGGGUGGUUCGGUGAACCUUUGGACCUCGCAAGAGGAAAGAUAAGUAAAUCAUAUCACCUGGAGGAAGGAGAAGUCGUAACAAGAAUCGGACC